rnacentral:tRNA from 1 species
UGGGGUGUAGCCAAGCGGUAAGGCAACAGGCUCUGACCCUGUGAUUCGCAGGUUCGAAUCCUGCCACCCCAG